rnacentral:rRNA from 1 species
UACAGAGGUGGCAAGCGUUGUUCGGAAUUACUGGGCGUAAAGGGCGCGUAGGCGGUCAGGUCAGUCCCGUGUGAAAUCCCUCGGCUCAACUGAGGAACUGCACGGGAAACUGCCUGGCUUGAGUUCGGGAGAGGGAAGCGGAAUUCCGGGUGUAGCGGUGAAAUGCGUAGAUAUCUGGAGGAACACCGGUGGCGAAGGCGGCGUUCUGGACUGCAACUGACACUGAUGAACGAAAGCCAGGGGAGCAAACGGG